rnacentral:rRNA from 1 species
CAGUAGCCGCGGUAAGACGAACCGUGCGAACGUUAUUCGGAAUCACUGGGCUUAAAGCGCGUGUAGGCGGGACGGCACGUCGACUGCUGAAAUCCCUCGGCUUAACCGAGGAACGGGCAUCGAUACGACCGUCCUGGAGGGACGUAGGGGGACCUGGAACUUCCGGUGGAGCGGUGAAAUGCGUUGAGAUCGGAAGGAACGCCCGUGGCGAAAGCGAGGUCCUGGACGUCUACUGACGCUGAGACGCGAAAGCUAGGGGAGCGAACGGGAUUAGAUACCCCCGUAGUCCCUGUCUCUUAUA